AUCCUGGCUCAGAUUGAACGCUGGCGGCAUGCCUUACACAUGCAAGUCGUACGGCAGCGCGGGGCUACCUGGCGGCGAGUGGCGAACGGGUGAGUAAUAUAUCGGAACGUACCCUGGAGUGGGGGAUAACGUAGCGAAAGUUACGCUAAUACCGCAUACGAUCUAAGGAUGAAAGCAGGGGACCGCAAGGCCUUGUGCUCCUGGAGCGGCCGAUAUCUGAUUAGCUAGUUGGUGGGGUAAAGGCCCACCAAGGCAUCGAUCAGUAGCUGGUCUGAGAGGACGACCAGCCACACUGGAACUGAGACACGGUCCAGACUCCUACGGGAGGCAGCAGUGGGGAAUUUUGGACAAUGGGCGCAAGCCUGAUCCAGCAAUGCCGCGUGAGUGAAGAAGGCCUUCGGGUUGUAAAGCUCUUUUGUCAGGGAAGAAACGGUGGAGGGCUUAAUAUCCUUUGCUAAUGACGGUAUCUGAAGAAUAAGCACCGG
rnacentral:rRNA from 1 species